GCUUACGGCCAUAUCAGCCUGGGUACGCCCGAUCUCGUCUGAUCUCGGAAGCUAAGCAGGGUCGGGCCUGGUUAUUACUUGGAUGGGAGACCGCCUGGGAAUACCAGGUGCUGUAAGCA
rnacentral:rRNA from 1 species